AGAAGGGUCCAGCCCGAAGGUCAGCGGAGCCGGGCUGUGGAGGCCGAUUCAGGCUGCGUCUCUCUUUGCAGAGAAAUUGCCCCAUCAGCUCCUAAUCCAGAAGCCCCGCUUCCCAGACAGCCGAGUGAGUGUGCAGAAAGUGAGUGUUGGCACAGGUGCACUGGGAUGUGGGGAGGCCGAGUGUGUCAGGAGGAGGGGGCACGUGCGUCACCUAGGGAAGAGCAUGUGAGUGCGUCCAGGCCGGGCAGUACACGUGUGAGUUCCUGUGUCCUGGCGGGAGGCGGGCCUGGGGCACGCAGGUGUGUGUGUGCCAGCCGGCAAGAGAGUGUGACAUGUGUGAGACCAGGGAAUCUGUGCCAUUAAGAAAAAGCACAAGUGACUACGUGCAGGGACCUAGAGAUUAUUGCGUGAAGUGAAAGGAGCCGGUCUCGAGAGGUCAGGGUGGAGUAGCCUCACCCACUGGUAGAAGAGGAAGAAGUGGCUCUUACAGACCGGGGUCCAGCGGGGUGGCCAGAGGCUGAGGGUGGUGGGAGAGAUUCCUCAGCAGGUACAAAUACAGCCGAAGAAUGGGCCUGGCGUUCUGUUGCAGGGGCCGGGAUUGUAAUUAACAAUGUUGAAUAUUUCAAAAGAGCCAGGAGAGGAGUCUGAAUGUACCCACCCCAAAGAAACGGCCCCUGGAGGAGGCCAUGCAUGUUAAGCACCCUAACUAUGGAUUCUGACGCGAUGUACGAUGCACCCAAAUACCCCGCUGCACCCCGGUGAAUUGCCCUUUGCAAUCUCUGCUACCAAGUCCAUGGGAAACUCUUCAAUGGGCAGGGACGUUUCCAGAAUAUCUGCCCAAGAAAGCGAGAGAGUUGUCACGUGCACACACCACAGAGAAGGCCAGAGCAAGGCUCGGGGAGGAGCUACCCGAGCUACCCAAACCACCCCGCCAGGCUGCUGCAGGGCUCACGGGCUACCUACCAUCUGCAGCUGAGUGGGGCCCGCUGUCCAUUUAUGAAGACUGUGAGCUAAGGAUUUAUUUAUUUAUUUUUUUACAUUUUUCAAUCAUUGGUUACAAAAAAAAAAUGCAAAAGCAGCGUAAUAUGUCAUGACUCGAAAAUGAGAUGAGAUUCCCAUUUCGGUGAAUUUAAAUAAAGUUUUAUGGAAACAUG